UAAGAUUAGCCAUGCAUGUCUAAGUAUAAGCAAAUUUGUACUGUGAAACUGCGAAUGGCUCAUUAAAUCAGUUAUAGUUUAUUUGAUGGUACCUUGCUACAUGGAUAACUGUGGUAAUUCUAGAGCUAAUACAUGCAAUAAAGCCCCGACUUCCGGAAGGGGUGUAUUUAUUAGAUAAAAAACCAACGCGGUUCGCCGCUCCUUUGGUGAUUCAUAAUAACUUCUCGAAUCGCACGGCCUUGUGCUGGCGAUGCUUCAUUCAAAUAUCUGCCCUAUCAACUUUCGAUGGUAGGAUAGUGGCCUACCAUGGUUUCAACGGGUAACGGGGAAUAAGGGUUCGAUUCCGGAGAGGGAGCCUGAGAAACGGCUACCACAUCCAAGGAAGGCAGCAGGCGCGCAAAUUACCCAAUCCCGACACGGGGAGGUAGUGACAAUAAAUAACAAUAUAGGGCCCUUUCGGGUCUUAUAAUUGGAAUGAGUACAAUUUAAAUCCCUUAACGAGGAACAAUUGGAGGGCAAGUCUGGUGCCAGCAGCCGCGGUAAUUCCAGCUCCAAUAGCGUAUAUUAAAGUUGUUGCAGUUAAAAAGCUCGUAGUUGAACUUCAGACCUGGCCGGAUGGUCUGCCUAACGGUAUGUACUGUCUUGGCCGGGCCUUACCUCUUGGUGAGCCAUCAUGCCCUUUACUGGGUGUGGUGGGGAACCAGGACUUUUACCUUGAGAAAAUUAGAGUGUUCAAAGCAGGCCUACGCCCGAAUACAUUAGCAUGGAAUAAUAAAAUAGGACGUGCGGUUCUAUUUUGUUGGUUUCUAGAGUCGCCGUAAUGAUUAAUAGGGAUAGUUGGGGGCAUUAGUAUUCAGUUGCUAGAGGUGAAAUUCUUGGAUUUACUGAAGACUAACUACUGCGAAAGCAUUUGCCAAGGAUGUUUUCAUUAAUCAAGAACGAAGGUUAGGGGAUCGAAAACGAUCAGAUACCGUUGUAGUCUUAACAGUAAACUAUGCCGACUAGGGAUCGGGUGACCUCAAUUUUAUGUGGCGCUCGGCACCUUACGAGAAAUCAAAGUUUUUGGGUUCUGGGGGGAGUAUGGUCGCAAGGCUGAAACUUAAAGGAAUGACGGAAGCACCACCAGAUAUCCUC
rnacentral:rRNA from 1 species